ensembl:ncRNA lncRNA:CR46242 long non-coding RNA:CR46242
UUCACUUGACCACUACUUCUAAUGCCCAUUUUUUUUUCCACUGUGUGAAGUGAGGCAGUGGAGACAGAUAUUUGAAGCUAGUUGUGAACCUGAAUCUGGGGGCUGGGGCCAUGCAAUUAGUCUAAUUGCUAAGCAUGCCAGCCGGACUAUUUCCAUUUGCAUCCAUCCCCCAUCCAUUCGCCAACCGAAUCUGGCCAAGACAGAUCGAAGAGGCAGCAGGCACAAACUGGCGCUAAUCGUUCAAACGAAAUCAGCAACAAUUCAUUUGCACAACAAGCGCCCAGCCUUUAGUUCCAUUUUCAGAAUCCGAAAGGGGUCCAGAACUCCGUCUAUCCAGGAUACAGUAUACAUAUAUAUAUAUAUAUAU